rnacentral:rRNA from 1 species
AGUCGAACGGCAGCGCGGGAGCAAUCCUGGCGGCGAGUGGCGAACGGGUGAGUAAUACAUCGGAACGUGCCCAAUCGUGGGGGAUAACGCAGCGAAAGCUGUGCUAAUACCGCAUACGAUCUACGGAUGAAAGCAGGGGAUCGCAAGACCUUGCGCGAAUGGAGCGGCCGAUGGCAGAUUAGGUAGUUGGUGGGAUAAAAGCUUACCAAGCCGACGAUCUGUAGCUGGUCUGAGAGGACGACCAGCCACACUGGGACUGAGACACGGCCCAGACUCCUACGGGAGGCAGCAGUGGGGAAUUUUGGACA